UUUCGAUUUGAUAAUGUUUUUUCGCACUAUAUAUUUCAGUUGCUAUUGAAAUCGAUGCUUUGAACUGUGAUUUUGUGGGGAACAAGACGGAAGUAGGUUAGUUUGUUUGUGCUCAAAAGAAGGAACUUUUUCAUUGUUCAAGAGAAUUAGGAUUUUGGGUAAGUUGCUAUUUGAUAGUGAGCUUCCAGAGUUUGGAGAGGGUGACAUGGUAUAGAAGUUGAUAUAUCAGAUAUACAAGAAACCUUAUCCAAAUAUUGUUGUUUUAGCAGUUGGAGCAGGUGAUAAAACAAUUAUAUGCUCAAAGUUGCCCAAACUGGAGAUAGAAAAUAUGGUAACCCCAUCAAUGACCAAGUCUUUGCAUGACGUAGAUUUGGUUGGAUAGAGAUGUCAACUAGAACAAAAGAAGGCAGUUUUGGAAGUGGUUUGGGGGAAACAAAAGGUUCAUCUUGACUGCAAAACAUUGCCAUCUAAUGAGAAUAUAUUGUCAAGCUUCUAUACAAAAAGAUAAAGUUUAUAACAGAUGGACUUCAGGUCAUUGAUUCCCGCCACAAAAACUGUUGUGCACAGAUGAGGAAAGCCGAUGACUAAAGUCAAAAUGACUGGGUAGAAAGUUACAAGUUCAUUUGGUUGCAAAUGCAUAUGAGUUGGGUUCUGGAAUGGGACGUCGAAUACGGUCAAGAUCAGAUUGGAGAUACAAGCCAUACUAGAGAUAUAUUUCUCAAUUUGUAUUAGAUCUUUU
rnacentral:lncRNA from 1 species